CUCAAACAAAUACAAGUAAUUAGGAAAUUAGAUCAAAUAAUAUAACCUGCAACCACCAUUCUCUUGGCUUUUUUCUCAGUAACCACUAGCCAAAUUAUAAUUUCCAAAAUAUCCAAAUCUCAAUAUCACAACUUCAUAGUUUAGAAGCUGUUGAGUUGUCCCACAUCGGAGGGAUUUGAGGUCCUUGGUCUCCUUAUAUGGCUUGAGCAAUCCUCUCACCUUAUAAGCUAGUUGUUGGGGUUGAAUUAGACCCAAGGUCCAUUCUUAUCAUGGUAUCAGAGCCAGGCCCAUCUCAAUUAUUGUUACUGAUAUUGGGCCCCUAUUUAUGUUGUCCAUGCUCCAGAGAUGAAUUUGAGGUCCUUGGUCUCCUUGUAUGACUUGGGCAAUCCUCACCUCAUAAGCUAGCUUUUGAAGUUGAGUUAGGCCCAAGGUCCAUUCUUAUCAUGGUAUCAGAGCCAGGUCCAUCCCAAUUAUUGUUACCGAUGCUGGGCCCCCAUUUAUACUGAAUUUUUACAUAAAAAAGACAAUCCGAUGCACGGUAUUCAUGAAGUAUUAGGUUAAAGGUCACAGCCCAAGGAAUAUAAUGUAAGCAGCUUAACGAACCUCUCACCUACAAAUAAUUUUUAUAUGCAACCUGAAAUUUAUUAAGUAAAAAGCACAGCACCAAUCAAGGCGAAGGCUAUAACACAAAUCCUACUUUCUAUUUCCAGCAGCGCCCAAUUUUCCCUUAACUAUUCUGAUCCCAAAUUUUAUAAUUGAAAUUAUCCGUAAUUAAUUUAUACAACAACUCCGCCUUAAUCCAGAAGAUUUAUCUCUCCAUUUAAGCUGUGAUAAUUAAGUUGUACCCCGUUCAAGAAUUUCCACAUCUGCCAAGUUUGAUUUAUUUGGCAACAGCCAAAAGGAAAAAAAAUAAAAAGAAGAGAAAGGGAAAGAAUUUGAAGUCGAAAUUACUAGUAGCAGAGAACAAAAUAGGAAGAUAAAAAAAGGAAAAUCAAAGCCACAAAGCUCCAGCUUGUUUCAAUACAGGAGUCAACUCGCCAGUAAUAUGAGCAGCCAUAAUCCGAUCCAACCCUCCAAACAAUUCUCCUCCGACAAACACUGCCGGCAACUGCAAACGACCACCCUUUUUCCUAUCAUCACCGCCGUCAACAGCGGCGACAAUAUUCUCCAGCUCAUCAAUAACCUCA
rnacentral:lncRNA from 1 species